AGUGGCGCACGGGUGCGUAACACGUAUGUAACUUGCCCAUCAGAGGGGGAAAGUCGCUGGAAACGGUGAAUAAUCCCGCAUGUGUUGUACGAUCCGCAUGGUAUGUACAGGAAAGAUUAAUCGCUGAUGGAUAGGCAUGCGUCUGAUUAGGUAGUUGGCGGGGUAACGGCCCACCAAGCCGACGAUCAGUAACUGGUCUGAGAGGAUGAUCAGUCACACGGGCACUGAGACACGGGCCCGACUCCUACGGGAGGCAGCAGUAAGGAAUAUUGGUCAAUGGGGGCAACCCUGAACCAGCCAUGCCGCGUGCAGGAUGAAGGUCCUCUGGAUUGUAAACUGCUUUUCUCAAGGGUUAAAGGUUUCCUAUAGGGAGAUUUGAAGGUACUUGAGGAAUAAGCCACGGCUAACUACGUGCCAGCAGCCGCGGUAAUACGUAGGUGGCAAGCGUUGUCCGGAUUUAUUGGGUUUAAGGGGUGCGUAGGCGGCCUGAUAAGUUAGUGGUGAAAUCGUGCCGCUUAACGGUAUACUCGCCAUUAAUACUGUCGGGCUUGAGUAAGUGUAAGGGAGAUGGAAUGCGUGGUGUAGCGGUGAAAUGCAUAGAUAUCACGCAGAACGCCGAUUGCGAAGGCAGUUUUCUGGCACUUAACUGACGCUGAGGCACGAAAGCGUGGGUAGCGAACAGGAUUAGAUACCCUGGUAGUCCACGCUGUAAACGAUGGUUACUAGAUGUG
rnacentral:rRNA from 1 species